rnacentral:rRNA from 1 species
UGGGGGAUAUUGCACAAUGGGCGAAAGCCUGAUGCAGCGACGCCGCGUGGGGGAUGAAGGCCUUCGGGUUGUAAACUUCUUUUGCUCUGAACAAGGCGCACCAUGGGGUGUGUUGAGUGUAGGGGUUGAUUAGCGCCGGCUAACUACGUGCCAGCAGCCGCGGUAAUACGUAGGGCGCGAGCGUUGUCCGGAAUUAUUGGGCGUAAAGGGCUUGUAGGUGGCUGGUUGCGUCUGUCGUGAAAGCUCAUGGCUUAACUGUGGGUUUGCGGUGGGUACGGGCUGGCUUGAGUGCAGUAGGGGAGGGCGGAAUUCCUGGUGUAGCGGUGGAAUGCGCAGAUAUCAGGAGGAAUACCGGUGGCGAAGGCGGGUCUCUGGGCUGUUACUGACACUGAGGAGCGAAAGCAUGGGGAGCGAACAGG